UACAGAGGGUGCGAGCGUUGUCCGGAAUCACUGGGCGUAAAGGGCGCGUAGGCGGUCGGAUAAGCGUGCGGUGAAAGCCCGGGGCUCAACCCCGGGUCGGCCGUGCGGACUGUUCGACUGGAGCACUGUAGAGGCAGGUGGAAUUCCGGGUGUAGCGGUGGAAUGCGUAGAGAUCCGGAAGAACACCGGUGGCGAAGGCGGCCUGCUGGGCAGUUGCUGACGCUGAGACGCGAAAGCGUGGGGAGCGAACAGG
rnacentral:rRNA from 1 species